rfam:Schistosoma haematobium scaffold244_21, whole genome shotgun sequence.
AUCCAACUGACGAGUCCUGGGUAGGACGAAACGUGCGUUCUGGAU